rnacentral:rRNA from 1 species
CCUACGUGUGGCAGCAGUGGGGAAUCUUCCGCAAUGGGCGAAAGCCUGACGGAGCAACGCCGCGUGAUCGAAUGAAGGCCUUCGGGUUGUAAAGAUCUGUUGACAGGGACGAAUAAGCAAUGCAAAUAGUUUUGUGUAUGACGGUACCUGUUUAGAAAGCUCCGGCUAACUACGUGCAAGCAGCCGCGGUAAUACGUGGGGAGCAAGCGUUGUCCGGAAUUACUGGGCGUAAAGGGCUCGCGGGUUGGCGCUUAAGUCAGGUGUGAAAACACCGGGCUCAAACUGGGGUCUGCACUUGAAACUGGGUGUCUUGAGGGGAGGAGAGGAAUGUGGAAUUCCUAGUGUAGCGGUGAAAUGCGUAGAUAUUAGGAGGAACACCAGUGGCGAAGGCGACUUUCUGGACGGUACCUGACGCUGAGGCGCGAAAGCGUGGGUAGCGAACGGGAUUAGAUACCCCAGUAGUC